CCGCCGCCGCCGCCCUGCUUAGCUCCUAUCCGGCCGCAGAUGGAAGCAGGAGAGGAUUCUUCUCAAGGUCCGUGAACCCAGAAUUCGGUUAAGUCUGUAAACCAACUAAAUUAACGUGCCAAGAAUUCGUGGAUGUUUGGAACUCAAAAUAAAAAUCAGGACGCAAGAUGGUCCCGGGAUAAAACGCUACUGACCAAACACUGGCAAGUUAAACUAGCUGUGGUGUUGAUACACUGAAUUAAAAUUCAAAUAAAACACGUGAAGACAGCAAAUCGUUUUAAAGUUACAAGCUAAAACUGUAAAAGGGACCAACAACUGUGUAGGCGGAGCAAAUGACAGACUGUAGUACAACCGGAAUGCUUAACACUCCAUGAAUGGAAUUGGAGAUUUCAAGACAGAUGUUUUUGAGGGAGAAAGCCUUUGGGAUUCAGAUUCUUGAAGCUUCUGUUUCUGCGAAGAAACCAUCCCUAUCCUUCACUUUUCACCUUGCAGUCAUUUCUUCCCAGGAGCUGUUUCUAUUUCUGCAAGAAAGGGAAAAAUGUAAGGAGACACUAUUCAUCUAAUCCUCUAUUAGAGGUAUAGUAAU
rnacentral:lncRNA from 1 species